UCCCAUCAUCUUCCACCGCCUUAUCAUUCAUUUCAUUUAUUUAUUUUUCUUUUUUUUCCUUUGCUCGGUUGACUGAGGGAACCGAAGGGGAACAAAGCAAGAAAGAAAACAGAGAGAGAGGGGGGGAGGGAGGGAAGGAGGAGGAAGAGAGGGUGAGCGACUAAGCUCGAGGUGGAGCUCAAGGAUAAGGGAGCGAGCGAGCGAGUGGCAGGGAGCUUGGGAUUGAGCUCAACGGAGGGGGUUCAGAGAAAGGGAGAGCGGAGAGGAAUCAGGAGGAACGAGCAAACACGGAGAGUGAGCGUGGGGCUACAGGAGUUGAUGAGACCGAAAGCAAGCACCCAGAGGGCUCGAUUCGUGGAGUUGUCAUUUUGGUAAUUGUUUGUGAGUACUCUAUUUCCUUGUAAAAUGAUUUAUUAUAGUUAUAUAAAUUAUUUAAUAAGAAUAUUGUGAUAGUUAGAUUAAGGAAUCGGUCUUGCUAUGUUGUGUGAAAUGAUUUGAGAGGUAUUGCGUUUUUAUGUUUCAUUUUGACUUGAGAUAUGCAGUGUGAUUGUGUAUGUUAAUUGUGUAUGAGAUAUGUGAUGAUAAUGUGAUACCAUUAUAAUAUUAUCGGGAUUGUGCUUGUGUCUA